UACGUAGGGGGCAAGCGUUGUCCGGAAUCAUUGGGCGUAAAGCGCGUGUAGGCGGCUUGAUAAGUCUGCUCUGAAAGCCCGGGGCUCAACCCUGGGAGGCGGGUGGAUACUGUCGAGCUCGAGUCCGGAAGAGGCGAGUGGAAUUCCUGGUGUAGCGGUGAAAUGCGCAGAUAUCAGGAAGAACACCCGUGGCGAAGGCGGUUCUCUGGGACGGUACUGACGCUGAGACGCGAAAGCGUGGGGAGCGAACAGG
rnacentral:rRNA from 1 species